rnacentral:tRNA from 1 species
CCCCUGAUGGUCUAGUUGGAUAUGACGUCUGACUGCAAUGGGAAUACCACUAUUAUCAGAAGAUCGCUGGCCCGAUUCCGGCUCGGGGGA